UACGUAGGGUGCAAGCGUUAAUCGGAAUUACUGGGCGUAAAGCGUGCGCAGGCGGUUAUGUAAGACAGUUGUGAAAUCCCCGGGCUCAACCUGGGAACUGCAUCUGUGACUGCAUAGCUAGAGUACGGUAGAGGGGGAUGGAAUUCCGCGUGUAGCAGUGAAAUGCGUAGAUAUGCGGAGGAACACCGAUGGCGAAGGCAAUCCCCUGGACCUGUACUGACGCUCAUGCACGACAGCGUGGGGAUCAAACAGG
rnacentral:rRNA from 1 species